GUCCUAGCCUUAAACGAUGCAUACUAGAUGUUGGAGGGCUCAACCCCACCAGUAUCGGAGCUAACGCGUUAAGUAUGCCGCCUGGGGAGUACGCUCGCAAGGGUGAAACUCAAAAGAAUUGACGGGGGCCCGCACAAGCAGUGGAGCAUGUGGUUUAAUUCGAUGCAACGCGAAGAACCUUACCUGGGCUCGAAAUGUAGAGGACGAUGCAAGAGAUUGCAUUUCCCGAAAGGGUCUCUAUAUAGGUGCUGCAUGGCUGUCGU
rnacentral:rRNA from 1 species